GACGAACGCUGGCGGCGUGCUUAACACAUGCAAGUCGAACGGAAAGGCCCUGCUUUUGUGGGUUGUCCGAGUGCCGACCGGGUGAGUACCACGUGAGUAACCUGCCCUUGACUUUGGGAUAACUUCAGGAAACUGGGGCUAUUACCGGAUAGGAGCUCCUGCUGCAUGGUGGGGGUUGGAAAGUUUCGGCGGUUGGGGAUGGACUCGCGGCUUAUCAGCUUGUUGGUGGGGUAGUGGCUUACCAAGGCUUUGACGGGUAGCCGGCCUGAGAGGGUGACCGGCCACAUUGGGACUGAGAUACGGCCCAGACUCCUACGGGAGGCAGCAGUGGGGAAUAUUGCACAAUGGGCGGAAGCCUGAUGCAGCAACGCCGCGUGCGGGAUGACGGCCUUCGGGUUGUAAACCGCUUUCGCCUGUGACGAAGCGUGAGUGACGGUAAUGGGUAAAGAAGCACCGGCUAACUACGUG
rnacentral:rRNA from 1 species